UGACUAACUCCCACUCUACAG
rnacentral:miRNA from 1 species